rnacentral:tRNA from 1 species
AUUUAAAUAGCUUAUAAAUUAGAGUGUAAUAUUGAAGAUAUUAAGGAGAUUAAUUAAAAUCUUUAAAUA